rnacentral:tRNA from 1 species
GGUGGCUCAGUGGUUGAGUGCUUGUCUUGCAUGCAUGAGGCCCUGAGUUUGAUUCCUCAGCACCA